GGAUCAGUUGGUCGGUCGUGCCUCGGUACGUACUGGUCAAAUUGAUUCCUACCUUCUGACGAACCACGAUGUCAUUAAUUUGGUGUCGCGGGAAAUCAGGACUGUUACUUUGAAAAAUUAGAGUGUUUAAAGCAGGCUCGCGCUUGAAUACAUUAGCAUGGAAUAAUGAAAUAGGACGUUUGAUUCUAUUUUGUUGGUUUCUAGGAUCGACGUAAUGAUUAA
rnacentral:rRNA from 1 species